GGGCAUCUGCCCUGCACUCUGGGACAAGCCCUGGAAACGGGGUCUAAUACCGGAUACUGAUCCUCGCAGGCAUCUGCGAGGUUCGAAAGCUCCGGCGGUGCAGGAUGAGCCCGCGGCCUAUCAGCUAGUUGGUGAGGUAACGGCUCACCAAGGCGACGACGGGUAGCCGGCCUGAGAGGGCGACCGGCCACACUGGGACUGACACACGGCCCAGACUCCUACGGGAGGCAGCAGUGGGGAAUAUUGCACAAUGGGCGAAAGCCUGAUGCAGCGACGCCGCGUGAGGGAUGACGGCCUUCGGGUUGUAAACCUCUUUCAUGCAGGGAAGAAGCGAAAGUGACGGUACCUGCAGCAAGAAAGCGCCGGCUAACUACGUGCCAAGCCAGCCGGCGUGUUAAAUACGAUAGGGCGCAAGCGUUGUCCGGAAUUAUUGGGCCGUAAAAAACUCGAUAGGGCGGCUUGUUCAC
rnacentral:rRNA from 1 species